rnacentral:tRNA from 1 species
UGUGGCUGAGUGGUAAAGCGCUUGGCUUCCGUACUGAGGAGUCCCGGGUUCGAAUCCUGGUA